CGAGGGUGUAACACAGAAUCGGGUGUUACAAUUGGAGGCCCCGCUGGGAUGAUCAUCAGCAACUAGACCUAUCUGCGAGAUCGGAAAGUAGGGAUCCCUGAGAGGUCGCCCUCGGGAAGGCUGGCAAGCAGGAUGCUGACAAUCCAAUAUGGGUACCUGAGCGUCUGCUGCAUGCUGUGGAUUUUCCUGUCCAGAAGCCUGAAGACAGGACAGAGCCGAGAGAUCAAAGAGAUUCUGGCUUGUCAACUGAAGAGUUGUGGGAUUCCUGAGGAGCUGGCUGUGGUGGUCCGAGUGCCAAAAAUUGUUCCUCUACCCAUCUACCCAUCUACCCAUCCCAUGAUAUCGGCAGCCAUGGCUGUUGCUGCCACAGCAGCUAGAGCUGCUGGAUUUUUCAUUAGUCAGUCAGUUGCUUCCUGCUAGCACAAAGGAUACCUUCUUAGGACAGGUUGCAAAUGCCUUGGCCAUUCAAAUUGAGCUAAAUUUACAAAUGAAUAUUGCAGUUAAUUUUGCUCUUGGUUGUGGUUAAAGACCACUGCUAGAUGUUACAGUAAUAGACUUAUUGCUGUUAUUCACGGACCCUGAGGUGUACAAUUUACUAAUUGGCUCUUGAAAUUAUUCUAGUUAGCUAUACCAGGGUUCUUUUUCACCAGCGCUGAGACCUUACUUAAAGGGCUCCAAUUUGGGCAGAAUUAUUAAGGAUUGAGCAGGCACAGUCUUCUCAAGGAAUGCUUACAGGUGCUGGAGCAUCAUCUUCAUGGAUUAUGAUGCCAGAGCCAAAGGCAAGCUCAGAUCAGUGUUGCCACAUGGCAAGUCCUCUUAGCUAUUGCCCCAGAGAAUCUUUCAGCACAAAUCUGGCUGAACUCGGUGAUGGAUGACUAAUGAGCCAAAGACGGGAAAGGCUUUUGGGGGGCUGCCCCAACCUAAGACAGGAAAUAUGUUUUGACCUGGAUGCUUUCCCAUGACGGGUAAGGGGUAUUGCCUGACAUCCAAAGCCACCCAAGACAGGCCUAGUCAUAAUUUAUAUAAAAGGGGGGACCUGUAGGGCCCUGGUCUGCCCUUAUUUCUGGGGUGCAUUUGCGGGGACAGUUUAUGGUCAGCUAACUAAGUGUCCUGUGUGUUUCUGUGCUCUCCCAGCCUGGCCUGGUGAUUAGCUGCAGAGCAUUGUCUCCAUUGUUAAUAUGGUAAUUUUCCACCUGUCUGGGAGGAGAUCCUUGUGCAGCAGUUAGAUACUUAAGGACUUCCCCAAGUCUAAAUAAAAGGCAUUCAGCUGAUCUCCUUUCGAAUGAC